rnacentral:rRNA from 1 species
GGCGGCGUGCUUAACACAUGCAAGUCGAACGAAGAGCGACGGAAGCUUGCUUCUAUCAAUCUUAGUGGCGAACGGGUGAGUAACGCGUAAUCAACCUGCCCUUCAGAGGGGGACAACAGUUGGAAACGACUGCUAAUACCGCAUACGAUCUAAUCUCGGCAUCGAGGAUAGAUGAAAGGUGGCCUCUACAUGUAAGCUAUCACUGAAGGAGGGGAUUGCGUCUGAUUAGCUAGUUGGAGGGGUAACGGCCCACCAAGGCGAUGAUCAGUAGCCGGUCUGAGAGGAUGAACGGCCACAUUGGGACUGAGACACGGCCCAGACUCCUACGGGAGGCAGCAGUGGGGAAUCUUCCGCAAUGGACGAAAGUCUGACGGAGCAACGCCGCGUGAGUGAUGACGGCCUUCGGGUUGUAAAGCUCUGUUAAUCGGGACGAAAGGCCUUCUUGCAAAUAGUGAGAAGGAUUGACG